rnacentral:rRNA from 2 species
UUAAGCGACUAAGCGUACACGGUGGAUGCCCUGGCAGUCAGAGGCGAUGAAGGACGUGCUAAUCUGCGAUAAGCGUCGGUAAGGUGAUAUGAACCGUUAUAACCGGCGAUUUCCGAAUGGGGAAACCCAGUGUGAUUCGUCACACUAUCAUUAACUGAAUCCAUAGGUUAAUGAGGCGAACCGGGGGAACUGAAACAUCUAAGUACCCCGAGGAAAAGAAAUCAACCGAGAUUCCCCCAGUAGCGGCGAGCGAACGGGGAGCAGCCCAGAGCCUGAAUCAGUGUGUGUGUUAGUGGAAGCGUCUGGAAAGGCGCGCGAUACAGGGUGACAGCCCCGUACACAAAAAUGCACAUGCUGUGAGCUCGAUGAGUAGGGCGGGACACGUGGUAUCCUGUCUGAAUAUGGGGGGACCAUCCUCCAAGGCUAAAUACUCCUGACUGACCGAUAGUGAACCAGUACCGUGAGGGAAAGGCGAAAAGAACCCCGGCGAGGGGAGUGAAAAAGAACCUGAAACCGUGUACGUACAAGCAGUGGGAGCACGCUUAGGCGUGUGACUGCGUACCUUUUGUAUAAUGGGUCAGCGACUUAUAUUCUGUAGCAAGGUUAACCGAAUAGGGGAGCCGAAGGGAAACCGAGUCUUAACUGGGCGUUAAGUUGCAGGGUAUAGACCCGAAACCCGGUGAUCUAGCCAUGGGCAGGUUGAAGGUUGGGUAACACUAACUGGAGGACCGAACCGACUAAUGUUGAAAAAUUAGCGGAUGACUUGUGGCUGGGGGUGAAAGGCCAAUCAAACCGGGAGAUAGCUGGUUCUCCCCGAAAGCUAUUUAGGUAGCGCCUCGUGAAUUCAUCUCCGGGGGUAGAGCACUGUUUCGGCAAGGGGGUCAUCCCGACUUACCAACCCGAUGCAAACUGCGAAUACCGGAGAAUGUUAUCACGGGAGACACACGGCGGGUGCUAACGUCCGUCGUGAAGAGGGAAACAACCCAGACCGCCAGCUAAGGUCCCAAAGUCAUGGUUAAGUGGGAAACGAUGUGGGAAGGCCCAGACAGCCAGGAUGUUGGCUUAGAAGCAGCCAUCAUUUAAAGAAAGCGUAAUAGCUCACUGGUCGAGUCGGCCUGCGCGGAAGAUGUAACGGGGCUAAACCAUGCACCGAAGCUGCGGCAGCGACGCUUAUGCGUUGUUGGGUAGGGGAGCGUUCUGUAAGCCUGCGAAGGUGUGCUGUGAGGCAUGCUGGAGGUAUCAGAAGUGCGAAUGCUGACAUAAGUAACGAUAAAGCGGGUGAAAAGCCCGCUCGCCGGAAGACCAAGGGUUCCUGUCCAACGUUAAUCGGGGCAGGGUGAGUCGACCCCUAAGGCGAGGCCGAAAGGCGUAGUCGAUGGGAAACAGGUUAAUAUUCCUGUACUUGGUGUUACUGCGAAGGGGGGACGGAGAAGGCUAUGUUGGCCGGGCGACGGUUGUCCCGGUUUAAGCGUGUAGGCUGGUUUUCCAGGCAAAUCCGGAAAACUAAGGCUGAGGCGUGAUGACGAGGCACUACGGUGCUGAAGCAACAAAUGCCCUGCUUCCAGGAAAAGCCUCUAAGCAUCAGGUAACAUCAAAUCGUACCCCAAACCGACACAGGUGGUCAGGUAGAGAAUACCAAGGCGCUUGAGAGAACUCGGGUGAAGGAACUAGGCAAAAUGGUGCCGUAACUUCGGGAGAAGGCACGCUGAUAUGUAGGUGAAGUCCCUCGCGGAUGGAGCUGAAAUCAGUCGAAGAUACCAGCUGGCUGCAACUGUUUAUUAAAAACACAGCACUGUGCAAACACGAAAGUGGACGUAUACGGUGUGACGCCUGCCCGGUGCCGGAAGGUUAAUUGAUGGGGUCAGCGCAAGCGAAGCUCUUGAUCGAAGCCCCGGUAAACGGCGGCCGUAACUAUAACGGUCCUAAGGUAGCGAAAUUCCUUGUCGGGUAAGUUCCGACCUGCACGAAUGGCGUAAUGAUGGCCAGGCUGUCUCCACCCGAGACUCAGUGAAAUUGAACUCGCUGUGAAGAUGCAGUGUACCCGCGGCAAGACGGAAAGACCCCGUGAACCUUUACUAUAGCUUGACACUGAACAUUGAGCCUUGAUGUGUAGGAUAGGUGGGAGGCUUUGAAGUGUGGACGCCAGUCUGCAUGGAGCCGACCUUGAAAUACCACCCUUUAAUGUUUGAUGUUCUAACGUUGACCCGUGAUCCGGGUUGCGGACAGUGUCUGGUGGGUAGUUUGACUGGGGCGGUCUCCUCCUAAAGAGUAACGGAGGAGCACGAAGGUUGGCUAAUCCUGGUCGGACAUCAGGAGGUUAGUGCAAUGGCAUAAGCCAGCUUGACUGCGAGCGUGACGGCGCGAGCAGGUGCGAAAGCAGGUCAUAGUGAUCCGGUGGUUCUGAAUGGAAGGGCCAUCGCUCAACGGAUAAAAGGUACUCCGGGGAUAACAGGCUGAUACCGCCCAAGAGUUCAUAUCGACGGCGGUGUUUGGCACCUCGAUGUCGGCUCAUCACAUCCUGGGGCUGAAGUAGGUCCCAAGGGUAUGGCUGUUCGCCAUUUAAAGUGGUACGCGAGCUGGGUUUAGAACGUCGUGAGACAGUUCGGUCCCUAUCUGCCGUGGGCGCUGGAGAACUGAGGGGGGCUGCUCCUAGUACGAGAGGACCGGAGUGGACGCAUCACUGGUGUUCGGGUUGUCAUGCCAAUGGCACUGCCCGGUAGCUAAAUGCGGAAGAGAUAAGUGCUGAAAGCAUCUAAGCACGAAACUUGCCCCGAGAUGAGUUCUCCCUGACUCCUUGAGAGUCCUGAAGGAACGUUGAAGACGACGACGUUGAUAGGCCGGGUGUGUAAGCGCAGCGAUGCGUUGAGCUAACCGGUACUAAUGAACCGUGAGGCUUAACCUU